CGCGUAGACGGUUUUGUAAGUCAGAUGUGAAAUCCCCGGGCUCAACCUGGGAACUGCAUUUGAAACUGCAUGGCUAGAGUAUGGUAGAGGGAAGUGGAAUUUCCGGUGUAGCGGUGAAAUGCGUAGAUAUCGGAAGGAACACCAGUGGCGAAAGCGACUUCCUGGGCCAAUACUGACGUUCAUGUGCGAAAGCGUGGGGAGCAAACAGGAUUAGAUACCCUGGUAGUCCACGCCAUAAACGAUGACAACUAGAUGUUGGGAGGGUCUGCCUCCCGGUGUCGCAGCUAACGCGUUAAGUUGUCCGCCUGGGGAGUACGGCCGCAAGGUUGAA
rnacentral:rRNA from 1 species